CAUUUACGGAGAGUUUGAUCCUGGCUCAGGACGAACGCUGGCGGCGUGCUUAACACAUGCAAGUCGAACGGUGAAGAGGAGCUUGCUCCUUGGAUCAG
rnacentral:rRNA from 1 species